UAGUCACCUGCAGACCUGUUUCACCACCUGUGAAGUGACUCCCCUGCAGGUGUGUAACCAAGGGCUCAAACCGGAUCCAUAGGCUGGCCCCUGAGCUUUGGGCCACAUUCGCUUAACACACUACUACGCUACUUCCUGACUCCCGUUACACUAGAUUAUUGUGAAUGGUUUUGUUGAAGAAAAAAUUAAAAGGUUGAAAGAGAUGUCAGUAGAAUUCGUGGCUUUGUAGUGGUCUUAAUAGGCAGGAUAACUCGCUAAAUGUUUCCAUAACCUCUUCUGUUCACAUUGCACAGCUAGGGUAUUGUACCUUGUAUUCACUACAGUAUCUUCCAUCUAGGUGUCAUAGUGUCCACUGAAGAGGCUGUGCUGCUAGAUUUAAACAGAGUCUGAAGCUAUUGCUGUGAUUGAUCUCCCAUUUUCUGGCCUGGAAAACAUUCAGGGAAAGAGGAAGAGAUGGCAGAUUCUUGGGGCUCAGUGACCUAUGAAGACGUAGUCGUGAUAUUCACUCAAGAGGAGUGGGCACUAUUGAAUCCUUCAGAGAAGAAACUCUACAGAGAUGUGAUGUGUGAAAACUUGAGGAACUUUCUUUCACUAG